rfam:Brachybacterium muris TCD-AY4 contig_10, whole genome shotgun sequence.
GGCGUUUUUCGCAGCGGAACUCGACCGCCCCACGACGAAAUGAUCGCGUUCAUCGACAUGCAUCGCGAUCAGUUCGGGGUCGAGGCCAUCUGCCGCAUCCUCG